AAGCUGCAGUCAACACCGGUUUUUAGAGGUCUGCAAGUACAGAGUUUUAAAUUGUGAAAUAAAACCUCUAACCAGUUAGCAGAGUGUGUGUGUGUGUUAUGCUGUGCUGAGAUAUUGCUGUGACAUAUGGUGCAUUAAGGUCCAUAACCUGGUAUUAUAUGUGUUGACAACUGUACAAGACAUCCUUUUGAAGACAGUUGUGAGUGAGCAACAGUCCAAGAUACCUUGUUAAUGCUGCCCUGUUACCUACUGAGUUUCUACAUACAAGUCAAGUAUCCAUCAAAGAUUGGCCAUGGUGUUUACAGAACUGAAAGCCAAGCUGUGAUUUUUGAAAAUUUAUUAUAAAGUUCUAAAUGGAAAUACAAUUUGAAAAGCA
rnacentral:lncRNA from 1 species